rnacentral:rRNA from 1 species
CGUACACUCCUGCGGGAGGCAGCAGUGGGGAAUAUUGCACAAUGGGCGCAAGCCUGAUGCAGCCAUGCCGCGUGUAUGAAGAAGGCCUUCGGGUUGUAAAGUACUUUCAGCGGGGAGGAAGGCAAUACGGUUAAUAACCGUGUUGAUUGACGUUACCCGCAGAAGAAGCACCGGCUAACUCCGUGCCAGCAGCCGCGGUAAUACGGAGGGUGCAAGCGUUAAUCGGAAUUACUGGGCGUAAAGCGCACGCAGGCGGUCUGUCAAGUCGGAUGUGAAAUCCCCGGGCUCAACCUGGGAACUGCAUUCGAAACUGGCAGGCUUGAGUCUUGUAGAGGGGGGUAGAAUUCCAGGUGUAGCGGUGAAAUGCGUAGAGAUCUGGAGGAAUACCGGUGGCGAAGGCGGCCCCCUGGACAAAGACUGACGCUCAGGUGCGAAAGCGUGGGGAGCAAACAGGAUUAGAAACCCGGGUAGUCC